rnacentral:rRNA from 1 species
AGUGGGGGGUAACUCCGCGAAAGUGGAGCUAAUACCGCGUAAGACUACAGAGUCGCAUGAUUCAGUAGUAAAAGGCUCCCCGAUUUUCGGGGAAUCGCUCAGGGAUGAGUCCGCGCCUGAUUAGCUAGUUGGUAGGGUAACAGCCUACCAAGGCAACGAUCAGUAGCCGACCUGAAAGGGUGUACGGCCACACUGGAAUUGAGAUACGGUCCAGACUCCUACGGGAGGCAGCAGUGGGGAAUCUUGCGCAAUGGGGGAAACCCUGACGCAGUGACGCCGCGUGAACGAUGAAGUCCUUCGGGAUGUAAAGUUCUGUCAGGCGGGAAGAAUCUCCCCCCGAUGCAAAUCGGGGGGAAAUGACGGUACCGCCAGAGGAAGCACCGGCUAAUUCCGUGCCAGCAGCCGCGGUAAGACGGAGGGUGCAAGCGUUGUUCGGAAUUACUAGGCGUAAAGAGCGUGUAGGUGGUUAGUUAAGUCGGAUGUGAAAAUUCCAAGCUUAACUUGGAACCGGCAUUCGAAACUGGUUAACUUGAGUGUAGGAGAGGAGAGCGGAAUUCCUAGUGUAGCGGUGAAAUGCGUAGAUAUUAGGAAGAACACCGGUGGCGAAGGCGGCUCUCUGGCCUAAAACUGACACUGAGACGCGAAAGCGUGGGUAGCAAACAGGAUUAGAUACCCUGGUAGUCCACGCCGUAAACGAUGGGCAUUAGGUGUAGGAGGUAUCCAAUUCUUCUGUGCCGAAAGUUAACGCAUUAAAUGCCCCGCCUGGGGGAGUAACGAC